ACGGAGCGCAGCAGGCGCGAAAACUGCACAAUGUGGGAAACCACGAUGCGGGAAACCCAAGUGCCAGCACUAUGUGUUGGCUGUCCCCCAGUGUUCGUAACCGGGGAAGAAAGUGCUGGGUAAGACGGGUGCCAGCCGCCGCGGUAAUACCCGCAGCACAAGUGGUGGUCAUUAUUAUUGGGCCUAAAGCGUCCGUAGCUGGCUUGUUAGAUGCCUGGGUAAAUCGAUGCGCUCAACGUAUCGACUUCCGGGUAGACCGGCAAGCUCGAGACCGGGAGAGGUGUAGGCUACUCGAGGGGUAGGGGUAAAAUCCUGUAAUCCUUCGGGGAGGACCAGUGGCGAAGGCGCUACACUAGAACGGCUCUGACAGUGAGGGACGAAGCCCUGGGGCGCAAACCGGAUUAGAUACCCGGGUAGUCCAGGGUGUAAACGCUGCAGACUUGGUGUCGGUGAUCCUGCGAGGGUUGCCGGUGCCGGAGAGAAGUUGUUGAGUCUGCCGCCUGGGGAGUACGGUCGCAAGACUGAAACUCAAAGGAAUUGACGGA
rnacentral:rRNA from 1 species